rnacentral:rRNA from 1 species
AUUAAACGCUGGCGGCAUGCUUUACACAUGCAAGUCGAACGGUAACAGGGUGCUUGCACCGCUGACGAGUGGCGAACGGGUGAGUAAUGCGUCGGAACGUGCCGAGUAGUGGGGGAUAACGCAUCGAAAGGUGUGCUAAUACCGCAUACGUACUGAGGUAGAAAGUGGGGGACCUUCGGGCCUCACGCUAUUCGAGCGGCCGACGUCUGAUUAGCUAGUUGGUGAGGUAAAGGCUCACCAAGGCGACGAUCAGUAGCGGGGCUGAGAGGCUGAUCCGCCACACUGGGACUGAGACACGGCCCAGACUCCUACGGGAGGCAGCAGUGGGGAAUUUUGGACAAUGGGCGCAAGCCUGAUCCAGCCAUGCCGCGUGUCUGAAGAAGGCCUUCGGGUUGUAAAGGACUUUUGUCCGGGAGCAAAUGCCUGGUGUUAAUAGCACUGGGAGCUGAGAGUACCGGAAGAAUAAGCACCGGCUAACUACGUGCCAGCCGCCGCCGUAACAC